rnacentral:rRNA from 1 species
AGAGUUUGAUCCUGGCUCAGGACGAACGCUGGCGGCGUGCUUAACACAUGCAAGUCGAGCGAGGUCCAUCCUGUCGCAAGACAGGUGAAGACCUAGCGGCGAACGGGUGAGUAACACGUGAGGAACCUGCCCCGAAGACCGGGAUAACACCGGGAAACCGGUGCUAAUACCGGAUGCCCUCAGAGAGUCGCAUGGCUCAUUGAGGAAAUGGAUUCCGCUUCGGGAGGGUCUCGCGGCCUAUCAGCUUGUUGGUGGGGUAACGGCCUACCAAGGCUCCGACGGGUAGCUGGUCUGAGAGGACGACCAGCCACACUGGGACUGAGACACGGCCCAGACUCCUACGGGAGGCAGCAGUGGGGAAUCUUGCGCAAUGGGCGAAAGCCUGACGCAGCAACGCCGCGUGGGGGACGAAGGCCUUCGGGUUGUAAACCCCUUUCAGCAGGGACGAACAUGACGGUACCUGCAGAAGAAGCCCCGGCCAACUACGUGCCAGCAGCCGCGGUAAUACGUAGGGGGCGAGCGUUGUCCGGAUUUAUUGGGCGUAAAGAGCUCGUAGCGGUUUGGCAAGUCGGGUGUGAAAACUCCGGGCUCAACUCGGAGACGCCACUCGAUACUGCCAUGACUCGAGUCCGGUAGGGGAGUGCGGGAAUUCCUGGUGUAGCGGUGGAAAUGCGCAGAUAUCAGAGGAACCACCGGUGGCCGAAGGCGCACUCUGGGCCGGUACUGACGCUGAGGACGAAAGCUGGGGGAGCGAACAGGAUUAAAAUACCUGGUAGUCCCAGCGCCGUAACGUGGGCACUAAGUGUGGGGGGCUCGAUCGACGGCUCGUGCCGUACCUAACGCAUUAUUGGCUCCCUGGAAGUACGCCGCAGGCUAAGCUCAUGGGAAUUGACGGGGGGCCCCGCACCAAGCGGCCGGGAGCAUGUUGCCUUAACUCUCAGAUGCAACCGCGAAAACCCUUACCAAGCCUUGACAUGUGGGAAAAGCCGUAGAGAUACGGUGUCCUUCGGGGCCUCACCACAGGUGGUGCAUGGCUGUCGUCAGCUCGUGUCGUGAGAUGUUGGGUUAACUCCCGCAACGAGCGCAACCCUUGUCCUAUGUUGCCAGCGGAUUAUGCCGGGGACUCGUAGGAGACUGCCGGGGUCAACUCGGAGGAAGGUGGGGAUGACGUCAAGUCAUCAUGCCCCUUACGUCUUGGGCUGCAAACAUGCUACAAUGGCUGGUACAAAGGGCUGCGAACUCGCGAGAGUGAGCGAAUCCCAUAAAGCCAGUCUCAGUUCGGAUCGUAGUCUGCAACUCGACUGCGUGAAGUCGGAGUCGCUAGUAAUCGCAGAUCAGCAUUGCUGCGGUGAAUACGUUCCCGGGCCUUGUACACACCGCCCGUCACACCACGAAAGUCGGCAACACCCGAAGCCGGUGGCGUAACCCUUUUGGGAGGGAGCCGUCGAAGGUGGG